rnacentral:lncRNA from 1 species
AGGACCGAGGAGCGCGCCGGCCGCGGACGGGGCCCGCCGCCCGGGCCUCGGCGGCAGCCAACUCCCGCCUCCUCGGCGGCCGCCAUCCGCGAGUGGGAGGUGCAGUCCCCCUGCCAGGGGCGUCCCUUCGCCUCACGCGCCCCAGAACGCACCCGAGACCCUGUGGGGGUGCCAAAGGCUGACACAGCCACGAAGAGACUGGACAGCAGCCAGGGACCCGUGGGAAGGCGUGUCGGGGGUUGAGAGCUUGGGUAAUGCGGGAAUUCGAGGUUCUGGCCCAAUCCCUGAUGUGGGAAGGACUAUUCUGAAGCAAACAAAAUUACAUCAAGUAUGACCACUGUGAAAUGAAAGAAAGUCAUCGCCAGUCCAGUUUUUCAGUGGAUUCUGAAGAGAUCAGUGAAGAUGUCAAAAUUUUCCUUAUGGACCCAUUUAUUCUCCAGCAGAGGCACGAGACUUUCUAAUAUUGUGACUAUCUAUUCUUAAUACAGGCUUCAUACUAGACACAUAGUCUACAUAAGUGGUCAGAUGUGUGUGCAGAGUUCCCACUGGGAAGACAUUGAUAGGAGAUCUGAAUUGGAGGAUCCACAGUCAGUUUGCCCAUCAUCCCCCUUCUACACACAGGAGCACACACACAACAAUGUGUGAGAACCUAGGCAGGAAAGUUGAUUCUUUUUUCCCCAAACUAGCUUAUGUAGCUUUUGCCUGUGGCUUUACCUCUGAAUGGACAGUGUAUGGUAUGGGUGGAAAGUAAGAAAGGCCCCAACUAGGGGGCCCUUUUCAAUGGAGGAAUGGGGGCAGUUAAAAGAUUCAAAGAUAUCCAUUUGAGGUGAUGAUGCAAACCUGCAGGCAGAUGGGGCAGGGGCACUCAGGAGGUUGACUCUCCACUUGAAAGCUUAAUACCUUGGGGAUAUCUCAUGCAAGAGAAAAUUAAAACUAGAGUGGCUGGAAUUCUUUACAUUUCUGCUCUGAAAUACAAGGGAAGAUUUCACAGGACUUGGAUAGUGACUUAGUUCUUGACAGCAACAGAGAAAAACUUGAAAAUGAAUUUAAAGCCUUCCUUCUUUUGUGAUUCCUCUGAGUGCAACUGGUACUUUAAAAAUGCCAUUAAGUAAGGGAGGGGGUGGGGGGCAGGAGGGAGAAAUGACACAAGCCUUGUAUGCACAUAUGAAUAAUAAAAC